GCUUACGACCAUACCACGUUGAAAGCACGCCAUCCCGUCCGAUCUGGCAAGUUAAGCAACGUUGGGCCUCCUUAGUACUUGGAACGGAGACGUCCUGGGAAUCGUCGGUGUUGUAGGCA
rnacentral:rRNA from 1 species